rnacentral:lncRNA from 1 species
UGGCAAUCAAAGAAAGAGAGAACAACCUCCCUCCAGCACCUGCUAAGGGCGAAGGGGACUGUGUACGGAAUAAAUGCGGUGCCUCGGCUUGACACUUCUGACAGGGUCAAGUUUUCCCUGCACCAUAAUGAGGUCUUGUUAGGAAAGUGGGAGCGGGCACUUAAAGGCCAUUCCCCUUCAGAGCUGGUGUCUGGGAAAGACAGAGCCAACCCUGGGGUCCAAGCAACCUGCCAGAGCCAGGGACUUGCGACUGUCGUCUACAGAUGCUGCUGCUGCUCUUCUGCACCUCCUGCCUUGCCUAGAUCUGCCUCCUUCGAGGGUCUGCAAAGAGCAGUGUUGCUUACAGGAGCCUGGGAUAAUGCAGCGCAAUCAUGUACUCAGUAUGUGACAUUAUUUGCUGGAUGUGGCUGAAUUACAAUUUUCCUCAAUUGCGAAUUCUGAUCGUCGAGCCCCCUUGAG